rnacentral:lncRNA from 1 species
AAAAAAAAAGUAGAAGGACAUGCCUUCAUACUAUUUCUUAAAAUGAAUAAAGCAACACAAGUACGAAAAAAUGAAAUAGUAAAUGUGUAUUGCGUUUCUUUCAUCUGUUAUACACAGCUGGAGAGAUUUAUUCAAGGGCACCAGCCAACCCAGUUCAACAAAAGCAUAGGAAAAAACUGUAACGAAAAUUUACAUCUUGAAUGAAGAAUACAAAGAAUAAAGAUAUAGAUGUGAGUGUUUAUCACCAACAAUUACAACAACAAUGAGCUGAGAUAACUUAAGACAUAGACAAGGUACCGGCCAUUAGAUCUGCACAGAGUGUCCAUGUUUCCGUUUCUAUUUCCGGCCGUAUAUGUCUUGAGCAGUUGGUGGAGAACAGCCUGCAUUUCCAUUUGCACCAACCUUUACCUUUGAACUCUUGUCAUACAUUUCUUGAGGAGAAGGCAUGCUUGCAAUUAACUGGAGAAAUAUUUGUGUUGAUUAGGUUAUGGAUCAAUUCAUCGGUAUUUAUAGAAAAAUUGACAGGGUGUUAUGAGAAACCAGGGUGAACCUUACCUUUGAGUUACUGGGGUUUCUUGAAGGAUUUCUCCUCCAUGGGUAUAGUUUCUUUCUUAUUUCCGAUUAGUUUCCUGCUAGAUCAGCUUGAUGAUUUGAAUUCAUUCAAAGAUUUGCGUGUGGAUAGCUAAUUAAUACUACCGACUUUAUAAGUUUGAAUACAAUAUUGAAGAAGUUUACCAGAAACUAGUGAUGAUCUAAACAGAUCAACAUGAAAAUUCUCAAAUUACAGAAGAUAUAGCCAAGAACGAUCAACCAGCAACGAAUUCUAUCUCAUAUAUACCGCCCCUUUCUCACCAUAUAUCUUCCAACCGAAACAGAGACUUGGACCAUAACGAGCUGCGCAGAUAACUGUAAGGAAGGGAUGGAGCAAGUGCCAAGAUGAUAUAUAUG